AGAGAAAGUAUGACGACUGAAUUUAGAAUUGUGGAGGUAUGCGUUUUGCUAAUUACUGUCAUUUUUAUUUAUCAUUGAGUCUCGUAGCUCAGCUGGUUAGAGCGCUACACUGAUAAUGUAGAGGUCGGCAGUUCGAGUCUGCCCGAGACUACAAUACGAUCUUGGGAAUUUAGAGUUGGGAAAUUCAUCCAUACUGAAUUCUUUUCAGAAUUGGGGAAUUAGCUCAGCUGGCUAGAGCACUUGAUUUGCAUUCAAGAGGUCGUGGGUUCGACUCCCACAUUCUCCACUAAAAGUUCAUUGACAUAUUGAAAAUUUUUAUACUACAAACAUCAGUUAUCCAAUUUAUGUUUGUAAUUAUAGAUACACUACAAAGUAUAAAUUACAUAUACAUACAAUUAUAUGUGGAUUUGUACGAGCAAAUAUUAUAAUAAAUACAAUUUCAAAGAAAAGUAAAGUUAC
rnacentral:tRNA from 1 species